GCGCACCUUGCUUCCUCGGAGUCGUGGAGCAAGCGCUUGAGCGGUUGAUUGCGGGCUAGCCAUGGCGCUUCACGUCCCCAAGGCCCCGGGCUUUGACCAGAUGCUCAAAGAUGGAGCAAAACAUUUCUCGGGAUUAGAAGAAGCUGUGUAUAGAAAUAUACAGGCCUGCAAAGAGCUUGCGCAGACUACUCGUACAGCAUAUGGACCAAAUGGAAUGAAUAAAAUGGUCAUCAAACGCCUGGAGAAGUUGUUUGUGACAAACGAUGCAGCGACUAUUUUAAGAGAGCUAGAAGUGCAGCAUCCUGCUGCAGAGAUGAUUGUGACGGCUUCUCAUAUGCAAGAACAAGAGGUUGGUGAUGGCACAAACUUUGUUCUGGUAUUCGCUGGGGCUCUUUUGGAACUAGCUGAAGAACUUCUGAGGAUUGGCCUGUCAGUAUCAGAGGUAAUAUCAGGAUAUGAAAUAGCUUGCAAAAAAGCUCAUGAGAUUCUUCCUGAUCUGGUAUGUUGUUCUGCAAAAAACCUUCGAGAUGUUGAUGAAGUGUCAUCUGUGCUUCGAAUCUCCAUAAUGAGUAAGCAGUACGGCAGUGAGACAUUUCUGGCCAAGCUUAUUGCUCAAGCAUGUGUAUCUAUUUUUCCUGAUUCUGGCAAUUUCAAUGUUGAUAGCAUCAGAGGAUGUAAGAUUCUGGGCUCUGGUGUUUAUUCGUCCUCAGUAUUACAUGGCAUGUUUUUUAAGAAGGAAACUGAAGGUGAUGUGACAUCUGUCAAAGAUGCGAAAAUAGCUGUGUACUCUUGUCCAUUUGAUGGAAUGAUAACAGAGACAAAGGGAACAGUGCUGAUUAAGACUGCUGAAGAACUGAUGAACUUUAGUAAGGGAGAAGAAAAUCUUAUGGAUGCACAAGUGAAAGCUAUUGCAGGCACUGGUGCUAAUGUGGUAGUAACAGGUGGCAAAGUGGCAGACAUGGCUCUUCAUUAUGCUAACAAGUACAAUAUCAUGUUGGUGAGACUUAACUCAAAGUGGGAUCUCAGACGACUGUGUAAAACAGUUGCUGCCACAGCUCUUCCAAAACUGACUCCUCCUGUCCUGGAAGAAAUGGGACAUUGUGACAGUGUUUACCUCUCAGAAGUUGGAGAUACACAGGUGGUUGUUUUUAAGCAUGAAAAAGAAGAUGGUGCCAUUUCUACUAUAGUUCUUCGAGGUUCUACAGACAAUCUGAUGGAUGAUAUAGAAAGGGCAGUAGAUGAUGGAGUUAAUAUUUUCAAAGUUCUCACAAGGGAUAAGCAUCUUGUACCUGGAGGUGGAGCUACAGAAAUUGAAUUGGCCAAACAAAUCACAUCAUAUGGAGAAACAUGUCCUGGACUUGAACAGUAUGGUAUUAAGAAGUUUGCUGAAGCAUUUGAAGCUAUUCCAUGGGCACUGGCAGAAAAUUCUGGCGUGAAGGCCAAUGAAGGUAUUGCUAAACUUUACUCAGUACAUCAAGAAGGAAACAAAAAUGUGGGGCUGGAUAUUGAGGCCGAAGUCCCCGCUGUAAAGGAUAUGUUAGAAGCCAGUAUUUUAGAUACUUACUUGGGAAAAUACUGGGCUGUUAAACUGGCCACUAAUGCUUCAGUCACUGUACUUAGAGUGGAUCAGAUCACCACGGCAAAACCAGCUGGUGGGCUCAAACCUCCAAGUGGGAAGAAAGACUGGGAUGAUGACCAGAAUGACUGAGGAGCUUGUUAUAGGUGAAGAGUUGUGUUGUAGACUAGGACUUGCCUAAUGUUUUCUUAUUUUUCUUAAGGUAUUUGUGAUUGUACUCUGCUGAGAGGUACAAUAAAUGUGUUACUGUUAAAAAAAAAAGUG